AAUUGUCCCGUACGGUUCACAGAAACGAGCGUCUCAGACGACACCAAUUUUGACACCACAGUAGUGGCAAUGGAAAGUAAUGCAGAUACUCUUGAAGAUAUAACAGAUAAUAAGCAGGGCAUGAACGAAGUAUGGAGGAUCUGUUUGAAAAUUCCAGACAUGAGAAAGAAAAUGACAGGGAGAGAUGUCCAGUUCAACGUUACCAGGACAAUUCAGCAAAGUUCCAACAGAUAUAAAAAAUCUGAACUUGAGGCAAAUAUAUACUGUCAUGUAUAUACAUGUAUAUAAGAUGGAUAAAGGACAUGAUACUUUCAGAGAAUCACAUUUGGCUACAAAAGUUUGUAGUAUUUUGGUUGUAAUCAAGUUAUUAAGCUGAAGUAAAACAGAUCUAGGCUACACCUUCACUAUUCAAGUCAGACUUUAAAAGGAAGCCUUUUUUGUUGAUAGCUGAACAUAUGAAGAAACUUUCAAAAGAGUGGAGCAUUUAGAAGAUGGAACAAUCAAAUAUUAUUUGUUACUAUUUCAGUAACUUUUCAAAUGUUAACUGUUUAGAAUAUUCUUAAAUAUAAAUAUAAUUGAAUUUAA